CAUGGAAUGAACUAAGAAUGACAACUCUGUGAAGGGAUUUCCUUUCUUGAGAAUCUGGGAGCAACGUGCCAAAAUGGGUCAUUUAGGCAUAAGGCCAGGGCACAAGCUUUGUGGGGGCAGGACUGUGUCUACCUUUUGCCUAGAACAGUGCCUGACACAUAGUAGGUACCUGAUGUUUGUUGAUGAUUGAAAAAACUGAAAAAAUAGAGUAUGUACCUUGCAAGUGGAGGGUAAGCAAUGGAAGCAGAAGAGUUCUGCCUGAAAUUUGAUCUGGGUAGAAUAUGGGCCCACCGAAGAUGUCCAUGUACAAGUCCUUGGUAGCUAUGUUUGUUACCUUACAUGGCAAAAGGGACUUUUCAGGUGUGAUUAUGUGAAGAUGAGAUGGAAAAAUUGAGAUGGGAAGAUUAUCUUGUAUUAUCAGUUGCAUUUGUUGUAAUCCCAGGAUUCUUAAAACAAGGAAGUUUGCCAACAGUGGA